AUGGGGUAUUCCUGGAUAGUUGGGAAUGGCAAUAGUGUUAGAUUCUGGGAAGACCAGUGGAUUGGGCAUACCACCCUUGCUACCCAAUAUUGGGACCUGUACAAUGUUGCCAAUGACCAUAAUAUUCCUAUAAGUGAGCCUGGGAUGGCGCUAAUCUCAAAAUUACUUUUAGGAGGUGUUUUACGCACAAAAUGUUAG
rnacentral:rRNA from 1 species